GAUGAACGCUGGCGGCGUGCCUAAUACAUGCAAGUCGAGCGAACAGAUGAGGAGCUUGCUCCUCUGACGUUAGCGGCGGACGGGUGAGUAACACGUGGAUAACCUACCUAUAAGACUGGGAUAACUUCGGGAAACCGGAGCUAAUACCGGAUAAUAUAUUGAACCGCAUGGUUCAAUAGUGAAAGACGGUUUUGCUGUCACUUAUAGAUGGAUCCGCGCCGCAUUAGCUAGUUGGUAAGGUAACGGCUUACCAAGGCGACGAUGCGUAGCCGACCUGAGAGGGGGAUCGGCCACACUGGAACUGAGACACGGUCCAGACUCCUACGGGAGGCAGCAGUAGGGAAUCUUCCGCAAUGGGCGAAAGCCUGACGGAGCAACGCCGCGUGAGUGAUGAAGGUCUUCGGAUCGUAAAACGCUGUUAUUAGGGAAGAACAAAUGUGUAAGUAACUAUGCACGUCUUGACGGUACCUAAUCAGAAAGCCACGGCUAACUACGUG
rnacentral:rRNA from 1 species